rnacentral:lncRNA from 1 species
GGCAGUAGGGCAGGGACCUUGAAAAGGAAUGAUUUGAACAGAUCGGAAAAGACAUUCCAGACAGAAACAAAUGCCUGAAACCCAAACCGAGAAGCAGGAAAGAGCAGACUGCGUUCUCGGAAUGGCAGGGAGUCCAGUUUGACUGGAAGACCUGAGGCUCAGAGGCGCAUCACGGCCCAGAUGCAGACCACAGAGGCAGGCACAGUGGCCCAGGAGGACCGAGGACCUGGAGUCACGGGGUUCCGCCCGCUGCCCCUGGGGAACCGAGUCAUGCCAGUUCCCAGACAGAUGAAUUCCUUCCAAGAAUUCCACAGUCCUGCUCAAUCCUAGCCGCCAAGCCUCCUGGCCUUGGAUGGCUGCUGUCUAAUGCAGAUCCUCUUUCAUCCAGAUUUCAAAUAUUUUUCCUAUUCUGUCCUUUGAUCACUAACGUUUAUGUUUAUCUACAUCAGCAUCCCUCAAUCCUGACGGCACUCUGAAAUUAUCUAGGGGUGCUUUAAAAAAGAAAAAUGUUGAUGCAUGGCCCUCCUCCAGGAAAUCUGAUUUUAUUGGUCUGGGGUGGGGCCCAGGCAUCAGCAGACUUUUAAUGAGCAGUUAGAGAGGAGAACCACUGAUGGAGAUGGUCACCAGGGAGUGUCCAGGUCAGACCGCCACAGAAGAGUGCAGCCUCCUGGCCUUCAGACCCAACUGGGACAAACCCUGAGAACAGCCUUGGCAGACCUCCAGGGGCAGCUGGACUCCCUGAGGCUGGAUGUUGCAGCCUCUCCCAGGCAUCCACUCUGCAGCUGAGGCCAAAGUUUCCAACGGGAAGGGAGGGAGAGUCUCCGAGUCUGGGCCUUGCCACUCCUCACUCAGCAUCUGACCAUCCCCACCUCCUGGAUCUACAGGGUUCAUAGAGGAGGACCCAGAAGAGGGAAAGUCAGGCUGAGGAACUUGGCCUCCCUGCUGCAAGGGAAAUGACAUCGGUUACCAAGGAGGUGACCAGCUAUCCUUUUCCAAGACUGAAAAGCAGAAAUACGGCCCUGAGGCUAGAGGGUCUAAGAGAACAAUAGGAAGAAUUUCCUGACAAAGGACAAUGUUGCCUAAAGGACUCAGGAAGCUCUGUGAAAACAGGAGACUCCCGAGCAGAGCACCAGACCCUUCUCCACCAGGCAGUGUUUUUCCCAUAUGACAGGUGAGAAAACUGAGGCUGAGAGACAUGUAAUAACUUGCUGAAGCAGCAACCAGCACACCAUAUAGCUGAAAUCUGUAGAUCAGCAGUUAAAAGUGGUAGGGCAAGUCCUCUCUGACUUUCAGCGCUAAGAGCCUAGGAUUCUGUGUUUUUCUGCUUAAGCCUGGGAAUCAGAGUCCUACAAAAGCCGCGCCUAAUCCUGGGGGUGUGGGCUUUAAACCCAGAGAGAAAGCAUGUUAUUGGAAUACUCCUGCACUUUUCUCCCUUUGAAUCCCACCACGGAAAGAAAAUUCUGUGACGUGUACCCAGUAUUUAUUGGAGGGUAUUUCCUAGCAAGAAAAUGAGGGCGAUUGACCAGGCACGGUGGCUCACGCCUGUAAUCCCAGCACUUUGGGAGGUCAAGGUGAGUGGAUCACAUGAGGUCAGGAGUUCGAGACCAGCCUGACCAACAUGGAGAAACCCCGUCUCUACUAAAAAUACAAAAUUAGCCGGGCGUGGGGUGGCGCAUGCCUGUAAUUCCAGCUACUCCUGAGGCUGUGGCAGCAGAAUCGCUUGAACCCGGGAGACAGAGGUUGCAGUGAGUUGAGAUCAAGCCAUCGCACUCCAGCCUGGGCAACAGAGUGAGACUCUGUCAAAAAAGAAAGUGUGGUACAUCUAUACUAAUGGAGUACUAUUUAGCCGUCAAAGAAAAAAAAGAAAAGAAAAAGAAAGAGAAAGAAAGAAAGAAGGAAAGAAAGAAAGAAAAAGAAAA